UGUCACAAAAACUGCUAAAAAUAGCAAACGUAAACAAACUGUCAAAAGACAUUUUAAACCGUAUUUAAUACCAAAACUGAACAAAAAUGAGUUAGAUAACCUAGAUAUACAAACUAAAGCACAAUACAAACCAUAUCACAACAGAAAUAUGUGCCGUGAAUAACUUUUAAAGUUUGAAAAAUAACAAUUUAUCCUGGAAUUUAGCUGUCAGUAUAAAACACGCGCGCUAGACUGUAACGGUGAUGUUAUGAUUUUGUUGUGCUUAAAUUUUGCAAUAAUUCUCACUAAAAUAUCUUGAAAAUCAUUGUAAGCCUGUUUAUAUAAAGCAUACAAAGCAUAUACAUCGACAAGGAACCGCAAAACUCAAAUUUAAACUUCGUGACCGAAUGACAUAAAACUGACAUGUCAUGUCUAGCAUUUUCGUCCUUGG